rnacentral:rRNA from 1 species
AGAGUUUGAUCCUGGCUCAGGACGAACGCUGGCGGCGUGCCUAAUACAUGCAAGUCGAGCGAACCAAUAAGAAGCUUGCUUUUUGUUGGUUAGCGGCGGACGGGUGAGUAACACGUGGGUAACCUGCCUGUAAGACCGGGAUAACUCCGGGAAACCGGUGCUAAUACCGGAUAGAUUAUCUUUCCGCCUGGAGAGAUAAGGAAAGAUGGCUAUUGCCAUCACUUACAGAUGGGCCCGCGGCGCAUUAGCUAGUUGGUGAGGUAACGGCUCACCAAGGCGACGAUGCGUAGCCGACCUGAGAGGGUGAUCGGCCACACUGGGACUGAGACACGGCCCAGACUCCUACGGGAGGCAGCAGUAGGGAAUCUUCCGCAAUGGACGAAAGUCUGACGGAGCAACGCCGCGUGAGCGAAGAAGGUCUUCGGAUCGUAAAGCUCUGUUGUUAGGGAAGAACAAGUAUCGGAGGAAAUGCCGGUACCUUGACGGUACCUGACGAGAAAGCCACGGCUAACUACGUGCCAGCAGCCGCGGUAAUACGUAGGUGGCAAGCGUUGUCCGGAAUUAUUGGGCGUAAAGCGCGCGCAGGCGGUCCUUUAAGUCUGAUGUGAAAUCUUGCGGCUCAACCGCAAGCGGUCAUUGGAAACUGGGGGACUUGAGUGCAGAAGAGGAAAGCGGAAUUCCACGUGUAGCGGUGAAAUGCGUAGAGAUGUGGAGGAACACCAGUGGCGAAGGCGGCUUUCUGGUCUGUAACUGACGCUGAGGCGCGAAAGCGUGGGGAGCAAACAGGAUUAGAUA